rnacentral:rRNA from 1 species
GACGAACGCUGGCGGCGUGCCUAAUACAUGCAAGUAGAACGCUGAAGAGAGGAGCUUACUCUUCUUGGAUGAGUUGCGAACGGGUGAGUAACGCGUAGGUAACCUGCCUUGUAGCGGGGGAUAACUAUUGGAAACGAUAGCUAAUACCGCAUAACAAUGGAUGACACAUGUCAUUUAUUUGAUAGGGGCAAUUGCUCCACUACAAGAUGGACCUGCGUUGUAUUAGCUAGUAGGUGAGGUAAUGGCUCACCUAGGCGACGAUACAUAGCCGACCUGAGAGGGUGGUCGGCCACACUGGGACUGAGACACGGCCCAGACUCCUACGGGGAGCAGCAGUAGGGAAUCUUCGGCAAUGGGGGCAACCCUGACCGAGCAACGCCGCGUGAGUGAAGAAGGUUUUCGGAUCGUAAAGCUCUGUUGUAAGUCAAGAACGGGUGUGAGAGUGGAAAGUUCACGCUGUGACGGUAGCUUACCAGAAAGAAACGGCUAACUACGUG